rnacentral:rRNA from 1 species
CGGUUUUCCACCGUACCGAAACCUAGCAGAGGGCCAGUCUGGUGCCAGCAGCUGCGGUAAUUCCAGCUCUGCGAGUUUGCUCCCAUAUUGUUGCAGUUAAAACGCCCGUAGUCUGAAUUGGCCAGCAAUGGUCGUACGUAUUUUUACGUUCACUGUGAACAAAUCAGGACGCUUAGAGUAUGGCCACAUGAAUGACUCAGCGCAGUAUGAAGUCUUUGUUUUCUUCCGAAAACAAGCUCAAUGAGAGCCAUCGGGGGUAGAUCUAUCUCAUGACGAGUGGUGGAAUACUUUGACUCAUGAGAGAGAAGCUGAGGCGAAGGCGUCUACCUAGAGGGUUUCUGUCGAUCAAGGGCGAGAGUAGGAGUAUCCAACAGGAUUAGAGACCCUGGUAGUUCCUACCUUAAACGAUGCCGACAGGAGUUUGUCAUUUGUUAAUGGCAGAAUCUUUGGAGAAAUCAUAGUUCUUGGGCUCUGGGGGAACUACGACCGCAAGGCUGAAACUUGAAGGAAUUGACGGAAGGGCACACCAGGGGUGGAGCCUGUGGCUUAAUUUGAAUCAACACGGGGAAACUUACCAGGACCAGAUGUUUUUUAUGACUGACAGGCUUCGGGUCUUUCAGGAUAUUGUUUUUGGUGGUGCAUGGCCGUUGGUGGUGCGUGGGUUGACCUGUCUAGCGUUGAUUCAGCUAACGAGCGAGAUUAUCGCCAAUUAUUUACUUUGCCGAAGUCCUUCGGUUAAAGUUCUAAUUGGGACUCCCUGCGAUUUUAGCAGGUGGAAGAGGGUAGCAAUAACAGGUCCGUGAUGCCCUUUAGAUGCUCUGGGCUGCACGCGUGCUACAAUGUUAGGAUCAAUAGGACUGCGAACCUGAGAGGGUGCGCUACUCUUAUAAUCCCUAACGUAGUUGGGAUUGACGUUUGUAAUCAGCGUCAUGAACCAGGAAUCCCUUGUAAAUGUGUGUCAACAACGCACGUUGAAUACGUCCCUGCCCUUUGUACACACCGCCCGUCGCUCCUACCGAUUGGAUGACUCGGUGAAAUCACCGGAUGCUUACGAGCAGAAAGUGAUUAAAUCACGUUAUCUAGAGGAAGGAGAAGUCGUAACAAGGUAACGGUAGGUGAACCUGCCGUUGGAUC